GCCAGGAUUUUAGCUGUAAGAAGCUUUCCAGGGGAUUCUGACGUGGACUGAUGCUGGGGACCACCGGGCCAGAGCACCACUGUGUCCACUUCAUAUAAACAGGAGGGCAUUGCUCCCUUUCCUCACUGAGGGGACCUCCUUGAUGAUGGAAAGUGCAAGAGGUGACUAAUUUUAAAGGGGCGACUCCACUGGACUCCCUGGCAAAACGCUAUGAGAAGCACAUUGCUUUUGCUUGGCCUCCAGCGUCUCUGUGACAUUUGGCUUUGAGAUGUGUCUGACCUCUGGGACUGGAAAUGGCCAUUUCAGUUUCUGCUGUUGUUCCUCAUUGACUAAGGUAAAUAAUUUGGGCCAGGGAUCUAGCCUCUGAAGAAAAGAGGAAACAGAGAGCAAGUUGCUCCAUACAGAGGAGAAAAUAUUCCCAAAUUGAGCAUGGCGCUCUGCUGCAGGGAGAAGAGGGGAUUCUCACUGAUUCUGGAAAAACUGUUAUACUCUGGGUCCACGUCAGAGGUGACAAGGAUGCUGGGAAUGGCGCCCGGCUGACUCGCAGUGGAGACCGGAAAGAAACUGAGCUAUGGCCCCCGGCUGGAAGGAAUGAACCCCUGCAUCUUCCCCUCUCUGGGCUAGCCCUAGAAAUUUGGCCAAGUCCUUCUGGAAGGGAGCAGACAGCAAGUCCAGGAGAACCAACCCUUCUUUCAGGAUUGAAAAUCACGAGCAAUUCCAUUAAAAACCGGCACAUGUGGUUGGUUUUGCAUAUCCGAGGAGACUAUGUUCGCACCCUCAUCUUCUAGGAGCGAAGCCAGCUAUGCAAAUGCGUAACUGUGAAGUCAAGAGUGAGAGCUGUACAUAGGCGAGUCCAAGAGAAUGGAGCACUCUCAAAAAUGACAACUCUGGAGCUGGAUUUUGUGUGAAGGUGUUGUCACAACCAACUUGUAAGGAAGCGAUCACAGCUAUUUGUAUAAUAUUACAAACAGUCUUUGAACUCUGCUCAUAAUUAAAUUGUACACAGCAAUAUGGAAGCUUAACUUGUCCUUCAUAGCAUAUUAGAAAAUUUUUCUAACAUACCACAAUCUGUUAACAGCAUCCUGUUUUGUUCAUGUCCUCAGGGCACUGAAGAGGGAAUGGUCAGAAUUUGAGGAUUCUGGUAUUGCUUCUCAAGAAGAUGUUGGUGGGGCCUGAUAUCUGGGAAUCAAGGCUUCCCUGAAAAUCUGGGGCAAGUAUAUAAAGCCAUAUGUCUAAUUAUUGAAAAGUUACAUAUCCCACUAACAAAUCUGACAGGCGUGACUUCACUGUGACAAAAUAUAUGUACUGCUAUGUUUUCCUUUGACUCCAAGUUGACAAAAUAGCAAACACUACUAAGCUCAAUGAUUGCAUACGUCUGGGUGUUGUUUUGAAGGGCCAGUGAUGUUUGCACAAGCAAUGGUUUUAUGUUGCAAGAUGUUCCUCAGCCAACUUACGCAACUAUUGUGAAGGCUGCAUUAAUUUGUGAAAACGCCUGGAAUAAAGAAUUGAAACCAAAGAGAAGCCAGAAAUUGGACACUCAGUGUUAUUGGGAAACGAGAAUUCCUUAUGUAAGAGCCCAUUGCCUUUGUAGCUAAGAAGACAGGUGGACAGGUUAAUUAUUUCGUCUUUCCUCUUAUGCAGGCAUUCUUGUCUGUCAAGUCAUCUUCAUACUCCAAAGCAGCCCAUCUCUAAUUUGAGAACCCUCCAAACCCUCACAGCAUUUGAAGGCAGUUCUUGUCUGGACAGAGGGCAAGAGAUGUGGAAACACAUUUUUCUGGGUCCAAAUUGUAUUAGUCACGUGAAUGCUUGUUUAGGGUUCUGAAUCUCUCUGUGCAAAUACUGAGUGGCAGAUUCAAAGCGACAGAGGUGCCUGUGUGUCUUUUAAUAAAUGUAUUUUUG